rnacentral:rRNA from 1 species
GUUGACGGGGCCCGCACAGGCGGUGGAGCAUGUGGUUUAAUUCGACGCAACGCGAAGAACCUUACCUGGGCUUGACACCCCGAUCGCACCUUAUGGAAACAUAGGGGUCAGUUCGGCUGGAUCGGUGACAGGUGCUGCAUGGCUGUCGUCAGCUCGUGUCGUGAGAUGUUGGGUUAAGUCCCGCAACGAGCGCAACCCUUGUCCUUAGUUGCCAGCAUUCAGUUGGGCACUCUAAGGAGACUGCCGGUGUCAAACCGGAGGAAGGUGGGGAUGACGUCAAGUCCUCAUGGCCCUUAUGUCCAGGGCUACACACGUGCUACAAUGGCCGGUACAAAGGGGCGCAAGACCGCGAGGUGGAGCAAAUCCCAAAAAACCGGUCUCAGUUCGGAUUGGAGUCUGCAACUCGACUCCAUGAAGUUGGAAUCGCUAGUAAUCGCGUAUCAGCAUGACGCGGUGAAUACGUUCCCGGGCCUU